rnacentral:sRNA from 2 species
UUCUUUCACCCACCCGUACCCGGCAGGAGCGGGGGACCCAGGCAACACGCCGUGACCGGGAUUUCCCCGGGCGGCUCGGGGUGAAGCCGUGUCCUCGACACGGCCGGGCACCUCCAGCCCGAACCCGACAGCUCACCUCGUAGGCGACGGAGAGGAAUU